rnacentral:rRNA from 1 species
UUAAGUCAGGCAACGAGCGAGACCCACGCCCACAGUUGCCAGCGUACUCUCUGGAGUGACGGGUACACUGUGGGGACCGCCGCUGCUAAAGCGGAGGAAGGAAUGGGCAACGGUAGGUCAGUAUGCCCCGAAUAUCCCGGGCUACACGCGAGCUACAAUGGUUGGUACAAUGGGUAUCUACCCGAAAGGGGACGGGAAUCUCCUAAAACCAAUCUUAGUUCGGAUUGAGGGCUGCAACUCGCCCUCAUGAAGCUGGAAUCCGUAGUAAUCGCGUUUCAACAGAACGCGGUGAAUACGUCCCUGCUCCUU